rnacentral:rRNA from 1 species
GACGAACGCUGGCGGCGUGCUUAACACAUGCAAGUCGAACGGAAAGGCCCUGCUUUUGUGGGGUGCUCGAGUGGCGAACGGGUGAGAACACGUGAGUAACCUGCCCUUGACUUUGGGAUUACUUCAGGAAACUGGGGCUAAUACCGGAUAGGAGCUCCUGCUGCCUGGUGGGGGUUGGAAAGUUUCGGCGGUUGGGGAUGGACUCGCGGCUUAUCAGCUUGUUGGUGGGGUAGUGGCUUACCAAGGCUUUGACGGGUAGCCAGCCUGAGAGGGUGACCGGCCACAUUGGGACUGAGAUACGGCCCAGACUCCUACGGGAGGCAGCAGUGGGGAAUAUUGCACAAUGGGCGGAAGCCUGAUGCAGCAACGCCGCGUGCGGGAUGACGGCCUUCGGGUUGUAAACCGCUUUCGCCUGUGACGAAGCGUGAGUGACGGUAAUGGGUAAAGAAGCACCGGCUAACUACGUG